rnacentral:rRNA from 1 species
CCUACGGGAGGCUGCAGUGAGGAAUAUUGGUCAAUGGACGAGAGUCUGAACCAGCCAAGUCGCGUGAAGGAUGACUGCUCUAUGGGUUGUAAACCUCUUUUAUAAAGGAAUAAAAUGAGGCACGUGUGCUUUUUUGUAUGUACUUUAUGAAUAAGGAUCGGCUAACUCCGUGCCAGCAGCCGCGGUAAUACGGAGGAUCCGAGCGUUAUCCGGAUUUAUUGGGUUUAAAGGGUGCGUAGAUGGGUUGUUAAGUCAGUUGUGAAAGUUUGUGGCUCAACCGUAAAAUUGCAAUUGAUACUGGCAGGCUUGAGUACAUUUGAGGUAGGCGGAAUGCGUGGUGUAGCGGUGAAAUGCUUAGAUAUCACGAAGAACCCCGAUUGCGAAGGCAGCUUACGAAGCUAUGACUGACAUUGAUGCUCGAAAGUGUGGGUAUCAAACAGGAUUAGAUACCCUUGUAGUC